rnacentral:sRNA from 1 species
AUUAUAUCCUGUUAGAAUAUUUAACUGUUACUGAAUUUUAUCUCCAGGAUAGGCAGAAAUAAUAAAAUCAGUUCUCUGUUAUACUAACGGUUGAGAUGAAAGGCAUGGAUAACAAACUGUACUUAAAGUAGUAUUUAUUUUUCAAAUACAAUCACAAUUUUAAAUAUUUAAUUUUUCUUAUGAAAGUAAUAUGUUUAUUACAGAAACUUUAACAAAAGAAGACAAUAUUAAAUUAUCUGUAAUCUGUCAUGCAGAGAUAGCUGAUAUUUUGAUACUUUUUUUUUCUAACAUACACAUGAUGCAGACACAUUCAUACUCUGACAAGCUCACCUGACCUCCUUUUUCUGCUUGUCAAAUGCAGAUAAAUUACAAAGUAGCUAAUCCACUCUCUAUAAUCAUGGUAUUAAUACUAACUGCUAACAUUUAUUCAUCAUUCUCUGUAUAUCAAGCAGGCACAAAAUUAAACACUUCACAUGCGUUUUCUCUAAACCAUAUUUUUUUUCCUUGUGUUUUUUUUUUUGUUUGUUUGUCCGUUUGUUUUUUUAAAGAGACAGAAUAUUGCUCUGUCACCCAGGCUGGAGUACAGUGGCACAGUCACGGAUCACUGCAUCCUCCAGUUCCUGGGUUCAAGCAAUCCUCCUGCAUCAGCCUCCAGAAUAGCUGGCACUACAGGUGCAUGUCUCCACACCCAGCUAUUUUUUAAAUUUCUUUUUGGAGACAAGGUCUGACUUUGUUGCCAAGGCUGGUCUUGAACUCUUGGCUUUAUGCCAUCCUUUCACCUAGGCCUCCCAAAGUGCUGGGAUUACAGGCUUGAGCCAUUGUGCCUGUCCAGUUAUAUUUUUUAAUGUUAAUAUGUUUGUCAAACAUAAGAAAUUUCAUACCAUUUUACAGAUGUCAAUUUCAUUGAGCUAAUAGAAUCAGGCAGUUGGGUGUAGUUUUCUUGUCUUACUUUACCACUAAUUUAAAAUCUUGAAGACACCUAAUAAAAUUGAGGCUUAUAGGGAGAUUACCUCUCAGAAGAAAUAUUCUAUUUCUGAUAUUUUGCAAAGUGGUAAAGAUCAAAUAUGACACUUUAUGUGCUAGUAUUUUGAGAAGUGUGAUGAUUUGUAUGAAUUUGUCAUGACUGUAUUAUUUAGUAGAAGAAAGAUCUAUGUAUUGAAAAUAAUGUUUUUGUCUAUACAAUAAUGUUUAGGCAUGCCAAUGUUGGAAUAACAUGGUACUUAAAAGAUGAUCAGUAGGAUUCUGUCUACUUUUUAAAAUCACAUACCCUAAAAACAUUAACAUUUACAGUAAAUGUACUGCUUGACUAAAUAUCAGCAUUUGUUAUUAAUCUGGGAAAGAAUGUCUUGGAAAUAGUUUCAGUGUGAUUAAACUAAAUUUAAAUGGUUUGUAUCUGAAAGGUGACCGGCAAGAGUCAGUAUCUUCUGGGCGGUAUGACCUAACCAGUUUUACAGCUCAUCAAUUACUGCUGCUUGCUUUUUGCAUAACACCCCAGAAUGCUUAUCAUUUAAGGGAGAAUAAAACAGUACACUGCAAUAAUGUGUGGUGUGUUGGCUUUGCCUGUCACUCUUUGAAACAAGUUUAAAAUAAACGCUGCAGUUGCUUUUCUAUUACAUUCACUGCAUUAAUGCUACACAUAAUGUCAACCUAAAUACAAAGCUAUAAAGUCAGUUGGAUAAAUAAUGGCUAGUACACAUUGUGAGUGGAGGAAAUGAGCUUCUCUUACAUUCCUCUGAAAUUGCAAAGUACACAUAUUUUAGGCAUGUUUGCUUCUUGCUUUUCUGCUUCUGUCACUGUAAUAUGAUUGCAUCUUUGUGUGAGUUUUGUUUUUCUUUUCUGUACAGUCUUCAGUCUUGAGUAUUGAUUCACUCUAAGUUUUACAUGAACUCAAAAAGUAGUUUGAACAUGUUAUAUAGCAUCUUCCCAGAAAGUCAAAGCUUUAAAUUAAGAGCUUGUACUCUAAGGAUAAAGAUCUUCAUAUUUAUUUUUGUCAAAUUUUGGAAAGCUCUUUACAUAUCACUGGCAUCACAUCUUUUCUACACUGCUCCUGAUUGGACCUUUAAUUCUGAAGUAUCACUAUUUCACAGUAUAGAAGAAGACUUAAGAAUAUAAUAAUUAUAUAACUAACAUUGGUACCUUAAAUCGAUCUAGGAACGAAGAGCUCUAGAAAGAAGAAUAUCUGAAAUGGAAGAAGAGCUCAAAAUGUUACCAGACCUAAAAGCAGACAACCAGAGGCUAAAGGAUGAAAAUGGGGCCUUGAUCAGAGUUAUAAGCAAACUUUCC